rnacentral:lncRNA from 1 species
GACUGGUUCACGACUUCUGAGACUUGCGUUUAUGAUUCGAAGAGUGAAAACGGAUACCAGUCAACUACAUACACACGCGUUUGUUUAUUCCUUUGUGUGUUGGAAAUUAUUGAUGGUCCUUCUGUCACUGUCCGUAAUUUAGCGAUUUGCCAAGCAAGCAGCAGAUGGAGUAGAGCAGACCUCUUUUCUCGACUGCAGUGGCUUGGCAUUGGAUGCCCUAAUAAGAAGAUUGACUUGACUUUUUAAUGCGAUUCCGUGUAUCACACAACUUACAAGACAAUAUGUUUCAUUAUAUAUCUAUGAUCAUAUUUAGGAUACAUGUUAAUGACCAUUGUAAGAUUGUGUGUAACAUACAAGACUUGGGCCACUUGCAUCAAGGUCAAGUUCAGAUAUAGAAUUCAGCUGCAUACAGUCUACCACAUAGCUAAUAAACCCUAUGAAAGGAGCUGUCGGUAUUUCCAUGGUGCAGCUAUCACCAGUUUCAAAAUGGAAACAGAUGGUGAGUCUCAAGCGAAAAAGAAAAGUGGACCUCUCCUAACAACUUAAAAGGAGAACAUUAUCUUGCAUAGCAUUUUUCUCCGAAGGGAUUGAUUCAAACAAGCACAUUGUGACAAGUAUCCCACUGAAGGCAAGUUCUACAACAAGGAGACGGACUCCACCAAUAUAUCGACGUUCAAAAAGGGCUUAAAUUUGUUUACCGAUCAAAACUAUGCCAUAAGACAUGAAUCACCCUCCAAUUAAAACAAAACAUAUGGAGAAGUCAGUCACUUUCAAAUCAAGUAACAAUUUAAGAUAUGAGACGAUUCUAAUGACGACAAUGAAUAUGGAGAAGUAUAAUGUACUUGAAAAUGUUUAAUGGAAAAAGAGGAAUGUGAAACUUUUUUGUAUUUAUUUGGUUCUCAUGAAGGCUUUGUCAUUGAUAAGGCAGAUAAGUUGAUUUAUUUCUUUGUUUUCAACAAAGAGAAAAGUUGAAAAGAAAAGCAUUUUAGGAGUACUAAAAGAUGUUAUAGAAAUAUUUGAGAUAGAAUGUAAAAACUGGCCCUUCUUAGGGUCUGCUAAUUUAGGGCUAAAAUAAAAUAAAAACAUAUAAUUGA